UCCCAAGACUGUGGGAUCAUGACCUGAGAGGAAAUCAAGAAUUGGAGGCUCAACCUACUGAGCCACCUGGGUGCCCUAUGUGAUUGUUACAUUUAAAUGAUGUCUAGGUUUUCCAUACAGAAAAAAGAGGAGCUGGGAGUGGGGAGAGCAACUGGAAAAUUACAGACACCAAAUAUCAUUAAUUACAUGGUCUGAUUUCUGCCCGCUUCUCCAUGCUUCAUCUCCUCUCACAUAGGACUGACUUCAUGGGCCAUGAUACAUGUGUUUGGUGUAAUGUUCUUUUGUUGCCAUUCUUUAGUUCCUGAUUUUACCUUUGAGUUUGUUUUUUGUAAGUAGAGUCCAAUGGAACAACAGAGCAUGCCGUCAGCGAGGAAAUGUGUGCAACUCUGUGGACUCAUCGUUCCAUGAUGCCCAGCGUGCUGUGCUCUAGAAACGCUAAAUUCCGUUGAACUCAAGACUGCGUGGGAGUUAGAUACAAGGUCAUUAAAGUCCUUGACAAGAGCAGCUGGGUGCAGUGGGGGACAAAAACUUCAAUGAAGUGGUUUAAGCAACAAUGGAGAAGCAGCGCAAGGGAAAGCCAGCAAGCAGUGGAACUGGUCAGUGCGUCCGCCACCCCCAGGUGCUGUCCUGGUGAGAUCUGUCAGUCCUCUCCGCCUUGUGCACUGAUGCUGAAGACUCCCCCCUGACCAGAGCCUAGUCAUUUGCCAGGCUCUCCCCAUCACGGGGAGUUACACGGCAACUGAUCCUCAUGUUCACCCUGCUGUCAAAGCAUUCCAAUUUUUAAUCGCUACAUGACUUGUCAGAUUCAAUAUGAACCACAUGGUUACAAUUAAAACCUCUCUAAUAAGGAGAAUGCCAAAAAAAAAAAAAAAGAGGGGUGGUGGUUUAGGCAUGUUUCCCGUCACUGUUCACAUUCUGAAACUAAGUUUAAGAAAGUUCCUCAACUAAAAUUUAUGUUUGCGUGUUGAGAAACUAAACUCUUAUGCCCUUAAUUCUUACGAUAAACCACAGAGUCGUUGAAAGUAUGUGCCUGCACUUACUGAGUAUUUCUAAGGUUCUGGCUGACUCUCAUCGAGUACAUUUCCACUAUGGAAAAGAAUCCGUCUCCCAUGAUGAGGGAAGAAGGCAGCCAAACUCCGGUUCCAGAUCUGUCCACCACACCUGUCACUUCCGCACCUACUGGGAGACAUUUUCUUCUUGGCUACGUUUGAGCUGGAAAUGCUGAAGCAUAUUUUAAGAACUCUUCUUUAACUCAAGAGAGGGAACUUUAUUUUCCUGAGAUUGGUACCUGAGUCACAGUCCCAGUUAUUUCUCUCCUAGAGUUUGCAAUUUUGAAUUUCCGCAAGACCGAGAAUUAAAAUGAAAAUGGAAGACAUAUUUUAUUCAUUACACUUUGAAAUUAAUUUACUUGCAGCUGUAUAUAAAUACUGAUCCUAUGUUAAAAGAAAUUUUUUUUAACGUUUAGUUAUUUUUGAGAGAGAGAGAGAGACAGAGAGAUAGCAGGGGAAGGGUCGAGAGAGGGAGACACAGAAUCCAAAACAGGCUCCAGGCUCUGAGCGGUCAGCACAGAGCCUUACACGGGGUUCAAACUCACAGACCCCGAGAUCAUGGUCUGAGCUGAAGUCGAAGACUUAAUCAACCGAGCCACCCAGGUGCCCCACUGAUCCUAUGUUUUAGAACAUGUGUAAAAGAGAUGUGCCAAGUACUGGUAUUUACUGGAUUCUGACAAGGUUUUUCCGUGCAGAUGAAAGUUGUAUCAGUCAACAGACGCAUCAGGCUCUUUGUGGAAAAGAUACAAUAGUAUGUAUGAUAGCUGCAGACAGCCCAUUCCAAUUCUACAGCAUUCUCCAGCGUUCACUGAGGUUAGAUAAGGGAAAAAAUAGUCUUAGGGCCCCAUAUGGACUAAAUAUCUUGGAAGUUAGACAUUUCUAUAUUUGACUUAGUUCACUAAAAAAAUUAACUUCUAUCCUGAUAUCUCAGGAUUUUUUUCCAAAACAUUUAUCUGAGUGCCUUUUAGGUAUUUAUUUUCUGAAUGCCAUCAAACAGCAAAAAAACUGUAAUGUUAAUCUAUAGUUCUGUUUUCUUCUUUUUUAAAAAUUUUAUCUCACUGUGGUAAGAACACAACAUGAGAUCGACCGUUGUAACAAUUUUUUUAAGUUUUUAUUUAAAUUCCAGGAUAGUUAACAUACAGUGUAAUAUUAGAUUCAGGUGUAAUAUUAGAAUCACAUUAUAGUGAUUCACCACUUCCAUACAUCACCCAGUGCUCAUCAAAACAAGUGCACUCUUUAAUCCCCAUCACUUAGUUAAUCCACCCUCGCCACCCCCCUUCUGGUAACCGUUAGUUUGUUCUCUAUAGUUAGGAGUCUAUUUCUCGGUUUGCCUCUCUCUGUCUUUUUUGUUUCUUUGUUCAUUUGUUUUAUUUCUUAAAUUAUGCAUGCGAGUGAAAUUAUAUGGUAUUUGUUUUUCUCUGACUGACUUAUUUCACUCAGCAUGAUAGUCUCUAACUCCAUCCAUGUCA